ACGUAGGGUGCAAGCGUUAUCCGGAUUUAUUGGGCGUAAAGCGCUCGUAGGUGGUUUGAUAAGUCUUCUGUGAAAGCUCCGGGCUUAACCCGGAGAGGCCAGAGGAUACUGUCUGACUCGAGGGUGGCAGAGGCCAGUGGAAUUCUAGGUGUAGGAGUGAAAUCCAUUGAUAUCUAGAAGAACACCGAUGGCGAAGGCAGCUGGCUAGGCCACAUCUGACACUGAGGAGCGAAAGCGUGGGGAGCGAACGGGAUUAGAUACCCCGGUAGUCCACGCCGUAAACGAUGUUCACUAGCUGUCAGGAGAAUCGACCCUCCUUGCAGCGAAGCUAACGCGUCAAGUGAACCGCCUGGGAAGUACGGCCGCAAGGCUA
rnacentral:rRNA from 1 species